rnacentral:lncRNA from 1 species
CGCGGUGGCGGCGGCUCCUCCUCCAAAAUUUGAGCAGGUACAGGGUGCCAAACAGGAUGUACACGCUGCUUUCCGGGCUGUACAAGUACAUGUUCCAGAAGGAUGAAUACUGCAUCCUGAUCCUGGGCCUGGACAAUGCUGGGAAGACGACCUUCCUGGAACAGUCAAAAACACGAUUUAACAAGAACUACAAGGGAAUGAGUCUAUCCAAAAUCACCACUACCGUGGGUCUAAACAGUAAGGGGGCACCUUAGGGAUAUGAGCUUGGGGGGGUCCCUUAGAAAUGGAUACUGUAAGGUCCACAACUCAACUGACCAGUGGUCAGAACCCCAUCUCUCUAUUCAAGCCCCCUGGGAUUGGUACCAGAAUGUUUUGUCUCAUCCUGGGGAGAGCUGGGACUUUAUGUGUGAAGAGUAAGGUCAGAGGCUAGCUCCUUUUGUCCUCACUGCAUUCAGUGACUGUACCUGCAAGAUUGGCAGGCGAGAUUGUUUGACCCAGGCCUGCUCUGCCCUCACAGGCAAGGGAGUUCGAGAGGGCAUCGAAUGGAUGGUGAAGUGUGUCGUACGGAAUGUUCACCGGCCACCACGGCAGAGGGACAUCACAUAAGCACCUUCAUCCUCACAGUCUUGGACUGUUCAUCCCCUAGUGUUGGAAGAGUAUUCUCUGCUGGCUUCUGUCCUCCUGAUGCUGGGGGUUGAGCUGGGUUUGUCUGUUCAUUUUUAUUUGCUUUAUGUUUUCUCUAAGACAAACUUUUCUCUGUGUCUGG